AGUAAAAUAAACUACAUGGGUUUAGUUUGAAUAACUGCAUAAAUGCUUGUCCGGGUUUCAACCUGCCAAGAGUAUCCAUGGCAAGAACGUAACACAUUAUACCACAUUAUACAUUUUAUUACUUGCUUGUUAUAUUAUGAUAUUUGCAAUUACCUUGUUAAUUUUCUCCCAGUUUAGUAAAUGAGCUCAAAUUUCCUUUAAUUUUAUUAGCUCUUAUAAAC